AACGAACGCUGGCGGCAUGCCUAACACAUGCAAGUCGAGCGCCCGUAGCAAUACGGGAGCGGCGCACGGGUGAGUAACGCGUGGGAACCUGCCCAGAGGUUCGGGACAACCGCGGGAAACUGCGGCUGAUACCGGAUGAUUCCUGAGGGACAAAGAUUUAUCGCCUUUGGAGGGGCCCGCGUCGGAUUAGGUAGUUGGUGGGGUAACGGCUCACCAAGCCUAUGAUCCGUAACUGGUCUGAGAGGAUGACCAGUCACACUGGGACUGAGACACGGCCCAGACUCCUACGGGAGGCAGCAGUGGGGAGUAUUGGACAAUGGGGGGCAACCCUGAUCCAGCAAUGCCGCGUGGGUGAUGAAGGCCUUCGGGUUGUAAAGCCCUUUCGGCGGGGACGAUGAUGACGGUACCCGCAGAAGAAGCCCCGGCUAACUUCGUGCCAGCAGCCGCGGUAAU
rnacentral:rRNA from 1 species